AAAAAAACCCUGCAAUUCCUUUCGUAAUAUGGUCAAAAUGGAUCAAUUAAGCCGUAUAAAAGAUAGAAAACCUUUAAAUAAAAAUCUAAUCAAAUUUUGUAAUAGAAAAAGGUUUUUGAGAGCAUUUUUUAAGACCCUUUGGAAAGUGCAAUUCAAAAAACCUUGGCGAUUCAAGUUUUCAAUAUUUGCAAGAACUUUAAGACUCGAGCCUGCUAGCUACAAACUUUUCCUUUAUACUCCAAAUGAAAAGCGAUCUCACAGAGUACAGAUUUGGUUACACAACUCGAUCAAUGGUACAUGAUGGUCAUAAACAAGGGCUGGACAAUAAGGACUCGAUUGAAAUAGGCGAUGACGAUAAACUCACAACGAACGGUGGUGAAAAUUUAUUAUAUGAUAGAGAUUAUAAAUUUAUCGAGCAUUAAUUUUUAAAGAUUCUACUGUAUAUAAGUUUGUUGCAGUAAAUUGUCUAUGUAAAUUAGUUAAUGCAUUGGUUAACACACAAAAAUGUUCAUUUUUUUUAAGAUUGGACACUAUAAAUUUUAACAAUUUAAUAUUUUACUCUCCAUUAAGAAAUCAUUUUCAAAUUUUGGCACCCAAAAAUGGCCAAGUUUAUAAUUCUAUUGCACCAAGUGCCUAGAUGGUUGUACUAGCUAGAGUUGGUAAAAUUUGACACGACCUGAUUACCUAACACGAACGCGACACGAAUAAAUAUGUAUGAGUCGUCAAAUUUGACACGAUUAUUAAAUGGGAUUGGUUCGGGUCAACACAAUUUUUUUCGUGUCGGGUUAGAGUUAAAGUUUUUAAUUCAUUUAUCCGAUUAAUGACACGAUUAUAUUUUCUAUUAUAAAUCAAUGUGUAGGAUGUUGUCAUCAAAACUCAAUAUUGGGAUCAUAGUUCUCUCUCUCUCUCAAAGAAUGAACAUAUAAAUAGUGUUUCAUUCAUAAAAUUUUAUAUAGAUUUAGAACUUCAAUAGUUUAAAUGUGUGAAAUAUUGGUAGACUUAUAUAUUUUAUAAUAUUGAUCAAUAAUAUUAUUUACAUAUAUAUAAAAUUAAAACUUUAAUAUUGUAAAUGUGUAAUAUUUUGGUCAUAUAUAUAAUAAUGUGCAAAUAUUUGUUGUAAAUUUUGUUAAAUAUAUAGAUAUAUUAAGUAGGUUAUUAGGUAACCUAUUUUAAGGAUAGCAAUGGAUUGGAUCUAACCAAAGAUCCAUGUGAUCCAAAUCCAAUCGGAUCAGAUUUGGAUUAGAUUUGAAUAUCAAUGUAUAGAUCUAAGACGGAUCUGAAACAGAUUUAGAUAAGUCUUAAUAUCUAAAUCCAUAUCCAUAUCCACCCAUUUUUUAAUUUUAUUUUAUUUUAAAAAUUUCUUAACAAUUGUGUUGUUAUAAAUGACAAUAAAUAUUAUUUAUAACAUAUUAGUGGUAUUUAUCAUGUAUUUAAAAAUCUUAAAACUUAAAGGUUAUUUUUGUAAAUUUAAAGGUCAGCCAGCCCCAAAGCAUGUACAUGCAAUACUCAAAUUGCAAGCCAAGCACUAACGCCUGGUAAUGUAUUUUAUUAUAUUGGCCAAUUAUUUUUUAAGGAAUAUAGUUAUUCAUAUAUUUGUCAAAUAUAAUCAUAAUAAAAAUAAUAAAGUAUUGAAUAUAAAUCAUAUUUAAUUUAUAUGUCAUUAUCUAAUUUUGUAGAAAUGAUGGUGGGUGUGCCGCGGAUAUUAGAAUGAUGAACGAGAUAGUAGAAUAUUAGAUUGAUCUUAAUCCUGCAAUUACUUUUGAGGGAUGUUUUAUUAUCUUUCUUAUUUGCUUGUUUUGGUGUAAAAGUAUAAGCUACAAUAUACAUUAUAUUUUUGAGACAAAUUAUAUAAUUUAAUUGUUACCAAUACAUUUUAGUCUUUAUCUUUUACUCUAAAAAAUUAUUGCUCUUUUAUUGUUGAGUUUUAGAAUUCAUGACGAAUCUAGAACAGAUUUGAAUUUUUUUUUCAGGUUUGGAGCAUAUAUAUAUAUAUUUCUUUUUUGGAUAUGGAUAUGGAGCGAAAAACAUGGAUUCAUGACGGUUCUUAAGCAGAUACGAAUCUCGAUUUUUAUUAUAGAUCUGGAUCUAGAUCUCGAUGAGAGUAUAUCCAACUCAUAUAUGUCCCAUUGCCAUCUCUAACCCAUUUAUUUUUCAUGUCGGGUUAUGGUCUCAAUAUGUUGACACGAUUCUUAAAUAGAUCGUGUUUGGGUCAACCUAAAUUUGACACAACACAAACACGAUCUGAUGACUCGUUUUGCCAACUAUAGUACUAAUAUAAUAAUAGUUAUAUAUAUAUAGGUUUACUCCCUUCUCCCAUCCAUUUGUCUUUAUUUUUUGAAUGAUAAAUAAAUUAAAGUUUAUAAUAAUUUAGAAAAAAAAUUAAAAAAAUUAAUUUAUUAGAGAUAAACUAAAAUUAACCCUUUUAAAAUAGAUUGGGUGGUAGGUUACGGUGCACAUGUUUGGUCAGGAUGAAUCGAAGUGGAGGGCAAACGCAAAUUGAUUAGGCUUAAUGUAUGUAGGUAAUUGGAAUCGUAUGCUCGUGGGAACAGAGAAGAUGGAGUCUUCAAGGAACGUAUGCUCGUGUCACAGGUGAUGUCAAAGGACUCGGGUACUUCUUCUCUCUCUCUCUUUCUUUGUGUGUGUGUGUGUCUCUCUCUAUACAUAUAUAUGUCCAAAGGACUCGGGCACUUGGCAGAGCUAUGGCUGCCACAUUCCGUACAUGCUAGCUCUACGAAUGAAACAGAGCUUAACAAAUGCAUGUGCAAAUGGGAAAUACAAGAUACACACACACACACACACACACACACACACACACAUACAUGUUUUAAUUCCUUUGAUUUAAUUACGUUCAAUAUAAUUAAUCAUUAAUAUUUUAUAUUAAUUGCUACCUGCAGGCAUGCUGUAGUGGAGGAAUUGGCAGCGCUAGGCGCCAGUCUGCGACAUCUCAUCUUGAGCAGAACGGGAGAAGCUAAUCAAUAAAGUCUCUUCUAUGUUCAAUGGGAAGCUUAACAUUCUCGUAUGUUUCAAAAUCUGUAUAUAGCCGUUAAUUGAGUUAAAAUCCCUGAGAUUAAUUAAUUUUCGAUAUUAUAUUUUUCAAAUUCGUAUGUACAUAUAUAGAUAUUAAUUAUUUGAUUUACAUACUGAACUGUGCGCUAUAUAGCUAAAUAACGUGGAAGCAAGUGUUGCAAAGCCAACAUUAGAGUACAAUGCUGAAGAUUUUUCAUUAGUAAUGACAACCAAUUUCGAGUCUGCUUUCCACUUGUGUCAACUUGCACAUCCUCUUCUAAAAGCUUCUGGUGCAGCUAGUAUUAUACUCGUGUCUUCGGGGCUAGGCCUGGUCUUAGCAAAUGUUGGAACUGUAUAUUCAGCUACUAAAGGUAAGUUACAUAUAAAUAACAGUUGAAAUCAAGCAUAUCUCUGUUUGUACAUUUUAAUGGAAAGUACUGAUGAUGAAUUGCCUGAUUAUUAUAUUCAUUUGCAGGGGCCAUGAAUCAGCUUGGAAAAAAUCUGGCAUGUGAGUGGCAGGGGAUGAUAUCAGGACUAAUGCUGUGGCUUCUUGGGUUAUCAGAAUUCCCAUCGUUGAACCUGUAACAACUACAUAUUGUUUGAUUACAUUAUAUUAUGUUCAAACCUGUUUUAAAUACGAUUUUUGAAUUAGGCUUAUUCCGCCAGUUUUGUCCAUUUCCGACUCUAAAAGUCUCAAUUCAGGCUUCCCAUUAGGGCAUGGUUUUAAUAUUAUUGUCAAUUCUUAACAAGAAACUAGAUUGUUUACUAUAGUGUUUUGGCCCCUUAUUGCUUGCAGUAUCUGGGAAACGGGGAAUUUUUGGACGAAGUCUAAGUCUCGAACCCCAAUUGGACGCCCCAGGGAGACAAAGGAGGUUUCUUCUUUGAUAGCGUUUCCGUGCAUGCCAGCAGCCUCUUCCAUAACCGGUCAGACUAUUUGUGUUCGCGGAGGAUUUACAGUGAAUGGCUUUUUCCUCCCAAGCACCUGAUCGCGAUCACUUACAAGAAGCUAGCUCAAGUUGUUAAAGAACGAUGAAGUCCCAUUUGCGGUGGUAAAAUUUUAUCUCUAGCUAAGUGCUCUCUAGUUCAAUAAAAUCUUGACUAGUUUAGCCACGAUAAUAUAAAUUCAUUGCUUCUUUUUGCAUUUCGUUAUUCAAUUCUAUUUUACAGGUUUCAUUUUUUAUUAGCUCCUAUAUUUAAGAGGUUGUUCCCAGUUUUUGUAAUUAGCCUAUACAAAAUUAAUGGAAUUCCCAAUCACAUGCGAAAUGAAUCCAAGCAUUAAGUGAUUACAAAAAUUUUUGACAGAUUCGAUGAUGAAGUUAAAUCAGUAAUCACACUGAUAUAAGUAAAAUAAAGCAAAAUCGUAGUUACUCACUAGAAAUUUCUCAUAAGGGGAGGUUCUUUGGAGUUCAAGACGUCACUGCUUCUGAGAAUUUCUCAUCAGCGAAAUACUGGAAAUUAACAAGAAAAAACUAAGAUUAAUAACAUAGUAUUCUCAUCUCACAUAAGACUUUCUCAGAUAAAUUAAAGAUCAUUUCUUAUUAAUACACUAAAUACAAAAACCUGGUUGAAUUAUUCUUACUGCUUCAUUUAGGGAAGUUUUGACAAACCAAUGGGCGACUGAAUUAGCUCUAAUGCUGUCUCCAGCCCUUUCACAUGUAAGCUUCUUUGGAAGUUGGUUCAUGGCUCCUGCAAACAAAAUACACAAACCUCUAUAUGUCUCUACAAUCUCUUAAAUCCGUUUCUGUGGUAUGUUAUUAAGUUAAUUAAUAUAUAUAUAUAAUUACCUUUAUUAACUGCAUAUAGAGGUGCUCCACUUAUUGAUACUGUUGGGAAAUUGAGCUUUCUCCCAAGAUCAAUUUAAGUAAUUUAUCAAACAACAAAUUAACAGAAAAAAUUAAAUGAAAAAUAAUAUCAAUCCUACAACAUAGGAUUUACGUGUAAAACUCCAAAUUCGUCAAAAAAACCACGGCCGUUGUCAAAAAGAUAACUAGAGAAAAAUAUUUAUUAUGUGGAAAAUUAUUAUAAUUACACUCUCAGAAAUAAUUUCUCUCACCCAAGCUCCAGAUACACCCAAAAUACUAAACCAGAUACACCCAAAAUACUAAAAGAGAAAAAUAUUUAUUAUGUGGAAAAUUAUUAUAAUUACACUCUCAGAAAUAAUUUCUCUCACCCAAGCUCCAGAUACACCCAAAAUACUAAAACUUCCUAAUACUCACUUAAUGCUUAACUUGCAUUAGAUUUCACAGCUCUAUAGAAUUUUGAAUGCUUCUCUCUAGGAUGAUUAAAAUGAAGGAAGAAAAAAAGGUAUACAAAUAUUUUUUUAAUGAUUUGUCACAUCCUACAUAUACUUUACAAUUUCGAGUCAAUUAAUUAGAAUAUUUUUGAAUUCAUACAUUUAUAUCACAAUCUAUGAUCUAUAGAAAAUAGCUCCAUAACCAUCUAUUUUUCUUUUGUUGAAUAUAAAUUGUGAAAUUCAUUAAUACUAAUUCAUUCUAGCAAUAUGUAUUUUGUUACAGGAAGCAGUUAAGUUAAAAUGGAUUGAUCUUCAUCACUCUCGAGACUGGGCGAAAAUCCCUUAUUCCUCAGAAUUGCCAAACCUCGAGAGAAUAGAACUUUUGAACCGUAGAAAGUUGCCUUACGUUGUCCCAACCAUUCAUAAUUUUAAUCAUCUUAGCAGCUUGUGUCUCGAAGGUUGCAAGAGUCCUAAGCACUUUCCAAGUAACACCCAUUUUAGAUCUCCAAUUGCAGUUAAUUUCUCCUUGUAUAUUGAUCUCACAGAGUUUCCACAAAUCACCGAAAAUGUAAGACCUUUACGUGGGACCCCAAUAGAAGAAAUUCGUGCAUCAGUUGAGUGCCUAAAUCUCGAGAAUUGCAAAAGGCUUAAAAGUAUUAGUAUUUCAAGUAAAAACAUUUGCAAAAGAAUUAUAAAACUGUAUUAGAAUUAAUAAGAGUGUUUGGCAUAAGAGUAAGAGAAAGAGAAAGAAAACUUUGUACACUGAAAACUGAUAACAGAAACAGAGCUCAAAGCUGCCGAAUUAACAAACCAUUUCAUCUUCCAAUCAUAACAUGCCAGCUGGACAAAUCGUUACAACUUAAUCAACCAUAUAACCAUCUAAUCCAGCUCAGCAGGUCACAACAUCUUCAGUCAGCUCAGCAGCCUUCAACUUAUAUACUUAACAUCCCCCCUCAAGCUCAACCUGGUGAAGUCAGGGUGAGCUUGUCUCUCAAAUAAUGAAAAGGAUGAUAGGCUAAAGCUUUGGUGAGGAUAUCAGCUGAGUUAUGGGAACUAGGAACAUAACUAACUUCAAAGCUCUUAUUAGCAAUCUUUUCACGCAAGAAAUGCACAUCAAGUUCUAUGUGUUUAGUUCGAGAGUGAAAUUUUGGAUUGCUUGCUAAGGCAGCAGCACUUUGGUUAUCACACCAAAUGACAGGAGUAGAGACAAGAGAAAUACCAAUUUCAGUCAACAAGGACUUAAGCCAUAAAACCUCAGAUGCAGCCAUUGCUAAAGCUCGAUACUCUGAUUCAGUGCUGGACCUGGACACUACUCCUUGUUUCUUUGAACACCAAGAAACCAGAGUAGGACCAAAAUAAACACAAUAUCCAGCAAUCGAUUUUCUGUCAUCCCUAUCAGCUGCCCAGUCUGCAUCACUGAAGCAAUCUAUGUGUAAUGGACCUUGAUUUGAAUAUUAUAAUCCCAUGUGCAUUGUACCCUUUAGAUAUCUAAGGAUCCUUUUGCAUGCUUGCCAGUGAUUAUUUGUUGGUGCAGCUAGAAACUGGCUGAGCUUGUUGACAGGAAAUGCUAUCUCAGGUCUGGUCAAGGUAGCAUACUGAAGAGCUCCAAUUGUGCUUCUAUACAAAGUUGCAUCAGUAAAGGAUUCACUGUCAGUUUUGGUAAGUGGAACAUUGGCAGCCAUUGGAGUAGAGCAAGGGGUACAGUCGUGCAUCUUAACUUUGUUGAGGAAAUCAGCUAUAUACUUUGUCUGAGAGAGAUGUAAGCCUGUUUCAGUUUUGGUGACCUGAAUACCAAGAAAAUAAUGCAGUUCUCCAAGAUCUUUAAGAGCAAAUGUUGUCUGCAGAUUAUUGAUAACUUGCUGAAUCUGAGUAGAAUCUGAACCUGUUACAAUGAUAUCAUCCACAUAAACUAAUACCAGCAAGAGAUGACCUUGAAUCCUCUGAAAAAACAGAGAAUUAUCAGACUUGGAAUUCUUGAAACCCCAUUGAGUAGUUAACACUGUUUUUAAUCUAUCAAACCAAGCUCUAGGAGCUUGUUUGAGACCAUAUAAUGCCUUCUGCAAUUUACAGAUGUGAGUAGGUUUAGUUGGAUCCACAAAGCCUUCAGGUUGCUGCAUAUACACUUCUUCAGUAAGAUAACCAUGGAGGAAGGCAUUGUUUAUGUCAACUUGUCUCAAUGACCAGUGAUUAAGAACAGCCAAGCUCAAGAUAAGUUUAACUGUAGAAGCCUUCACCACUGGACUAAAAGUCUCAUUAUAAUCAAUGCCUUGAGUUUGAUGGAAACCCUUUGCUACAAGUCUGGCUUUGUACCUUGAGACACUACAAUCUGCAUUGUGUUUAAUUCUAAAUACCCAUUUGUUUCCUACAACUUUGACAGGAGAUGUUGGCUGAACAAGUGUCCAGGUCUGAUUUUUAACUAAGGCUUGAUACUCUUCUUGCAUUGCUUAAAGCCACUUUGGAUCAUUUAGAGCAGCUGAAACUGUAAGUGGUUCUGUUGGUUUAGGAUUACAUUCAACUAGAUAGGCCUUUUUUGGUUUGAAUAUUCCCAUUUUGGAUCGGGUAGUCAUAGGAUGACCAAUUAUGGGUUGUGAAGGUGGAGAUAAGUGAUGAAGAAGUUGAGAAGAUGAUUGCUGAUUUAUAGGACUAGGAGUAUGAGACAACAAAUGAUUUUCUGAACUGGAUAGGUUUGAAUUUGAUGGUAAAUCAGUUGCUGGAGGUGUAGAUUGAGAGAGAGAUCUACCAAGUUGUUCAGCAGUCUGUGAUAAUGUGAAUGAGACAAGAGGAUUUGAAGAAGUAGACUCAUGUAAAGAAUCAGAACAUGACUUUGUAGAGAACUUGUCAGCUGAUUGGAAGGGAAAAAAUGACUCAUCAAAGGUGACAUGAUUACUUAUAUAGACUCUUCCAGAGAGAUGAAGACAUUGAUAUCCUUUGUGAAGUGAGCUAUAGCCAAGGAAAACACAUCUUUCACUUCUAAACUGAAGUUUAUGAUGAUUAUAAGGUCUAAGAUAAGGGUAACAAGAGCAGCCAAAAACUUUCAUCAUUGUAUAAUCUGGGAGCUUGUGAAAUAAUUUUUCAAAGGGUGAUUUAUUGUUGAGAAUAGGUGUAGGAAGUCUGUUAAUGAGAUAAGUGGCUGUAUGAAAUGCAUUCCACCAGAAUUUGAGUGGCAAGUGAGCUUGGGCAAGAAGUGUGAGACCUGUUUCAACAAUAUGUCUAUGUUUUCUCUCUAUUUUCCUAUUUUGGUGAUGUAUAUAAGGGCAUGGAUGUCUAAAUUGUAUGCCUUGUUCAGAAAGAUAUGACACAAAAGGCCUAAAUUCCCCACCCCAAUCAGUUUGUAAGCACUUGAUUCUCAAGUUUAGACAAUUUUCUAUCAUAUUUUUGAAGUCAAUAAAGGCUGAUAGAGUUUUGGAUUUUGUUGUCAGGGGAAAUAUCCAAGUGUAUCGGGUAUAAUCAUCUAGGAUAGAUAGAUAGUAGGAGUAUCCUUGGGAUGAGGUAAUAGGAGCUGGUCCCCAGAGAUCAGCAUGUAACAAUUCAAGGGGCUGAGUGAUUGAUGUUUCUAUUGAAGGAAAAUGCUGCAUAUGACACUUGCCUAGUUGACAGGCAUCACAGAACUGUGGUUUUGAGUCUUUGGAAAGAACAAAGGUUGAAUCCAGGCACUUCAUGAUUUGUUUUAAGGCAUGAGUUAUUGGAUGACCCAUUCUUUUGUGCAACAGGUUAUAAUCAACAGUCUUAUUACAUGAAGCAAAAUGAGCCACAGAGGCAUUUUUAUUGAUUUGAGGAUUAUUUACAAGCAUAAGAGGACAAGUCUCAGUAUCAAGGGAAUUCAAUUGAGUAAACAUAGACACUGGAACUACUGACAAUGGAUUUAUUGGAUUAAAAACAGACUCUGAAGAGUUGAACACUGGAACAACAGAACUUGAGUUAUCACAGAUUGCAUUCAAACUUGGAACUUGAUAAAGACCUCCUCUAGCAAUCCCCUUAAGCAAUGUGAUCCUUGAGUUCUUGUCCUUAACAAAACAGACAUGAUUGUAAAACUCAAUGAAAACAUUGUUAUCAGCAAGCAAUUUGGAAACACUGAUAAGGUUUUUAGUAAUUGAAGGUACAUGUAAAACAUGAUUCAGGUAAAUAGGUUUUGUAGACAGAGUUUUAAUAGCAACAGAUCCAACAUUGUGAAUAGGCAAUCCCAUACCAUUUCCUACAUGCAGUAUCUCACAGCCACGGUAAGUUGAGUAUUUAGAUAGCAUACCUGCAUCUUGAGCAAUGUGAUUAGUUUCUCCAGAGUCAAGAUACCAAGCUGGAUCAGCUAUAUUGCUGUAAUUUGCCAAUUGUGCAGAGGGAUGUACAUUGUGAGGAAUACCAACAUUUCCAGCAUACAUGCUUGUUGUUUGAACCCCAUUAUAUGCACCAUUUACACCUUGAAAAUCAAAAACACCUUGAGAAUUCAUGACACCUGGAUUCUGAUAGGCAACAUAACCAAAGUAAGGUCCAGCUUGUUUAGGAAAGUUAGGCCUGAAUCCAGACCCAAAACCAGAAGCAUUGUACCCAGAACCUCUGCCAAAAUAAUUUUGAUUGUUUCCAGGAGAUCCUCUAUAAUUCUGACCUCCACCUCUUGGCCUAAAAGCAUCAAAACCUCUGUUUCUAUGAAUAAAACCCUGAUUGAACCUGUGUUUACACUUAUAAGCUGCAUGACCUGGGAUGAAACAAAUUUGACAUACAACAUCUCUUCCAGGACCUGUAUUGCUAUUCUGACUGUUAUCAUAAGCACCUGAAUUACCAGCACCUGCAUUCUUCUGAUUAUAUCCAGAUUUAUUGUAUCCUUGACUUUUCUGAGCAAAAUUUGCUGUCAUUUCAUGCUGAGGUUCAUUAUGAUAUUUUCCUUUGUUCAUUUCCAACCUAGUUUCAUGACUAAGCAUCAUAGAAUACACCUCCUCAACAGUGAGUUUCUCUUUUUCCAGUCUAGUAAGUAUAUUUGUAACUAGAGAUUCAUAGUUAUCAUCCAAUCCAGUAAGCAAAUGCAUAAUCAAUUCAUUUGAAGUGACUGGAUUACCUCCAAUGGCCAAACUAUCAGCAAUUUUCUUCAUCUUAUUAAAAUAAUCACUUACUGAAAGUGAUCCUUUCUUUGUUGAUUGAAUUUGCAUCUUCAAAGGUAGAUACCUUGCUUUAGAUUGUGACAUGAAGAUUUCGGCAAGCAUCUCCCAGAGCUCAAGUGAUGUUUCGCAGUUGAUCACCAUGAUUAAAAUUAUCCACCAUUGAUGAUAGCAUCCAGCUCUGCAGAAGCUUAUCGAUUUUCAUCCAUAAAGCAUAAUCUGGAUUUUCUUGUUUUUGUGAAGCUUCAGCUCCAGAUCUUCGAGAUUCUUGAGUUGAUUCCACGAGAUAACGUUCUGGACACACAUUCUCACCAUUGAUGAAGCUUUCGAGUCCAUUAGCAAUGAUUGAUGUUCUCACUUGAGCCUUCCAAACUAGAUAGUUUGAUCUGUCGAGCUUUACAGGUUGAACAAAAUGAAAUGAGAGUGAAGAGGAAGCUAUAUGAUUAGAUCCAGACAUAGUUGAUGGCUCUGAUACCAUAUUAGAAUUAAUAAGAGUGUUUGGCAUAAGAGUAAGAGAAAGAGAAAGAAAACUUUAACUGAGAGAAAUUCUUAUUGAUUAAAAUAUGAAAAAUCAUACAUUGUAAUUGUGUUGACUAUUAUUUAUAGUUACACUGAAAAACUGAUAACAGAAACAGAGCUCAAAGCUGCCGAAUUAACAAACCAUUUCAUCUUCCAAUCAUAACAUGCCAGCUGGACAAAUCGUUACAACUUAAUCAACCAUAUAACUAUCUAAUCCAGCUCAGCAGCUCACAACAUCUUCAGUCAGCUCAGCAGCCUUCAACUUAUAUACUUAACAAACUGCAAUUAACUUAUUUAUAGGCAAAAAACUUGCCUAAUAGCCUUCAAGUUUGAUCAAAUUUGGUGGCUUACCCACCAAAUUUGAUCAAAUGAAUUUGGUCAUGUUCAACCAUGGCUGCUCCCAUGCUUCAAGAAUGGAGGCUAAAGCCUUUACUUUGACAGAUACCACACCACAAACUGAAGACAUGAAAACAAUAUUUCAUGCGCUUGAUGCUUUCAGAAAAGUGUGUACAAUGUGGGACGAGCUGACUCAAAAUUUUGUAGCUAUGAUAAAUGACAAGUCUUCAGCUGUGUAACCUACUGUAGUAGCCCUUCGCAUUUGUCCCAACAUUGUUUAUCUACAGUCAUGCACAUGGACAUGGACUAACUUAAUAUAUUAUAAAAAAAAUGUAUAGAUUAUACAUCUAGUAAUUAAUUAAGUGAUCACAUAAAAGGAUGUUCAGUUUGCCAACGAAAAGAGAGGAGACAUGUUUCAUUAGAUUCUUUCAUUGUUCUUGUUUUGAAACAUCGCAUACAGAAUAUAAAUUUUAAUAUAUAAAAAAUUAUAUUUUUUGAUCUAUUAAAAUAUUGAAAUUUAUAUUUUUUAUCUGCUUUUUGCUACAAAAUUAUUAUUAUUAUUAUUAGCUAGCUCAGCUAGGCAGCGAUAAUAAAGAAAGUACCCGAGUCCUCUAGAUCCACCGAUAACAAGCGUGGUCAGGCGUCGAGCCUCCAUCUGUCAUGUCCCGCCGUGCCAUUCUAUUUGCCUGAUCCAUUCUUUCUGCUCUGGUUAAUGCUCUAUUUGCUUCCACGUUCUGGACUUAGAUAACAAUUCCAUCAGGAAGUCUUGGAUAUUAGUCAACUGUGUCCCGUACAAUUACAAUUAAUACGUGGCAGAAAAGAAUUCGCAGCACUCAAAGUUAAAGUGAUCUCUAGUUCAAUAAAAUCUUGACAAGUUUAGCCAUGAUAACAAAUUCAUUGCUUCUUUUUCCAUUUCGUUAUUCAAUUCUGUUUUAUAGGUAUCAGCUUUGAUUAGCUCCUAUAUUUCAGAGAUUGUUCCCAGUUUUUUGUAAUUAGCCUAUACAAAAUUAAUGGAAUUUCCAAUCACAUGCGAAACGAAUACAAGCAUUAAGUGAUUACAAAAUUUUUUGACAGAUUCGAUUAUGAAAUUAUAUCACAGUGAUUAUAAAGAACCAAUGCCAAAACAGAGGCAACUAUCUCAUAUAAAAGUAAAAUAAAGCAAAAUUGUAGUUAAUCACUAGAAAUUUCUCAUAAGAGGAGUGUUGAUGCCAAAAUCUGGUCUGCUGAUGAUGGCAACCGAAUUAUCUCGUCAACACUUGAAUUUGUUUUGAUGGGAAACUAUAGCUUGCUGCUCUCAUAGAAUCAAAAUCACGACGAUACUUCCUUUAUCUGUUGAUACCUUCUUUAAUAUGCAACAACAGAAAACUGUCAGGGGCGCUAGAUUUUUACCGGCGAAAACCCUUUGAUGUUCAAGUCAGCAAUUGAGUUUUUUACUAGAAAAAAUGAUAAUCUCAAAAACUCGAGAUUUCUUAAUUUUUUUUUUUAAUCUCAAACUUCUUCUUCUCUAUGAAAAAGGAAGAGUCCAUUUUUUUUUAAUCUCACCGGGUUCUUAUAGACAACCGUGAGUACUGCUUGUCCUUUAAUAGACAGCCAUUACCAAAUUGAAUGCACCACAUGAAUUAAGAAUUAAUGCAUUCAUUUCUGUAUAAUUAUUGAGCUGCCGUUAUUACGCCGGUCGCACUUAGAUGUUAUGGCAUAACGUGCUUAGAUGUUACGGACGAACUUCCAAGUGGAGUUCAACAGUUUGAGUAUUUAACCAAAGGCUCAAGAUCGACCAACCCGAUUCUGGUAUGCUCGUAGGGUACUGGUCGUGCUUGCACAUUCAACCAACUAAAUCUCUCCUCGAUGUUUCACAACAUUGGAAUUUAGUCACUAUGUCUUAUAUCCCAAACAGGGAGGUUCUUUGGUGUUCGAGACGUCACUGAACAACGGUAUUAUGUAAUUUAAAAAAAAAGUGAAGAUUGAUAUAAUAAUGACACUUAGGAGUCAGCUCAAAGACUCAUCAACUUGAGAGCGUUUGGGUUUCAAAACAUUACUACUAUUUUCAGUUAUAUAAAGUCCUCUAAUUAGUUGAAGCCUCCUCCUCAUUCAGUGAAAUGGACCCAAAUUGAAUAAUGUUAAAUAUUGACUUGAAGACAUAAUCAAAAUCAAAUAUGGCUAGUAAGUUGAUGCCUAUCUCUUCAGAUACAUAGAGAAUUCAGAUUUGGUCAUUCAUCAUGCACAUUAAUUUAUUUUCAUUUUUAUCGUCACACCAACUUUUGCUUUUGGAUGGGAAGUUUGGGAUAGAAUUGUAGUGCCUUCACAAGCCUAUGUUUUAUAUGACAAAAAAAUAUGUUGAGUAACGAAAAGUACCAGCUCGGCCAUGUCAUCAUCUCUCACCCUGAGAUGAAUCUCCUUAGCUGAAUGGUACGAGCAGAGUCCUGGUAAAACAUCGUGUACGGGCAUGUGCCAACUAGAAACGAGCACCGAUCAGAGAUAUGUACCGACCAAAUACUCAUCACCCAAAGAAAGAGGACACGAUCUCACGAAAUUGUGACAGUUUCGCCAUGUCCCGAACUGCUGGGGAGAACAUGACAUCCCACGUUUACCCACGAUUCGGUGGUUAGAGACCCAUAAGGGUCUAUCAUCAUCCGAAAAUAGGGGGCAUAAAGAAUACUCAGAAAACGUGGGAUGACGGCUAUAAGAAGCCAAGGGACUGAUGAAGAAAUGGACACAAAAAUUGAGAGAAAAGGAGAAACUCUGCCAAAUUAUUAUCAGAAAUUCGUAUAUCCAAAUCCUUGAGAUAUUUCGUAUUAAAAAUAUUGCAACUAAUAUGUACAACACAAAUCAUGUAGUUUUUCCGUAAACAUCUUGUGCUAACUUAAGCAUUGGAGGGUUUACGCCGGUAAAACUACCGGCGUCUCUAAUAUGCUUCUGUGAGCGCAGGAUUAUAAAGACGAAAAAGGGUGAUUCCAACCCUAGGAGCUCGAACAAUUGUUGAAGCAGGGAGAGGGCGACAUCUUCUCCAUUGACCAUACAAGCGUUGGUGGAACGAUUUGGUCGAGCAAAGGGCGAUCAGAUUUCAACAUCAACAUUUUGGCGCCGUCUGUGGAGAGCUGGAUAAAAAGCUACCACCAAGUUAGUAGUCAUUAGAGGAGCAGCGAACAAUCGGUUAUGGAUGUGACAAGGAAGGAUGCCUUAGGAGGCGACAAUGAAACUAGUGAAAUAAUUACUCUCCGAGAGAUCACAAAUGAGGUUAGAGAGAGGAUGAUGCAAGAGCGGAUGGAACAGAUGGAGAAGCAAAUGGAGACUCUCACAGCUAUACUGCAUGAGCUGAGGGAUGAGCGGAGAAAGGAUUGUGAAACUACCACGGUGAGAGAUGAAGCCAUUGCAGAACCCAGCCUCCGGAGGCGUAGAAUCGAGGAGAUUCCUCUGUUGGGAGGGCAACCCUAUGGGGUGCAUUCACAUAGAAGUGCAGGUCGGAUCCCAGGAGAGUGCGUGGAUGAAAUGAGAGACCAAUCUCGCUCUGGGCGAGUUCUGGGAGUUGAUAGCCGAGGAGUAAAUGUUGAAGAAAGUGAGCUCAGACAGCGGUUGCAUAACGCUGAGCAGGAGCAAGACCAAGUAGCUGCACGCGAACCAGACCGCACUUUAGAAUUGGAAGGUGAGAUGCGAAGGUUGGCGUAGGUGAUGGAUGAGAUCUAAGGCGAGAGAAAGCCUUCGAGUUGGAGGAUAAUGCUGGAUGAAGAAUCUCCACUAUCAACCAAGAUCAUGGGUACGGUGAUUCCAAGAGAUUUCCGCUUUCCUGACCUCAAAUACUCCGGGAGAAGCGACCUGCUAAUGCAUAUUGAGCGUUUCAAUGACAUAACGGGUGUGUAGGGAUUAACACACAGCUCAGAGGUGCAGAGUGUUCCCAUUGACACUAGAGGGGCGAGCCCGAGAGUGGUACCGUAAACUACCACGUGGAAGAAUAAGGAGAUAUGAACAGAUCUACCAGGAGUUGGCCGAACAAUUUUGCGGAGCAAUAGCCCCGGAGGACGAUAUGAUGGAAUUGAUAGGGAUGAAGCAGGAGGAACACGAAUCCCUUCGUGAUUUUGUGAAGAGAUAUCACCGGGCCGUACUUGAUUUUAGGGCUUUUAAUCACCCACAGGCAUUAAGAAGGUUAAAUAAAGGUGUGAGGAUAUGUCGAUUGUGGUACAACUUGAGAAACUCCAUCAUUCAGAAUUAUUCAGCGGGGUAUGAGCAGGCGAUGAGAGAUAUAGAAAUUGAAGAGGAGAAAACGACGAGGAUAAAGAGUGAACAGCUGGAGGAGCUGAGGCGAAAGGUGAAGAGAACACUGAGUGGAAGCGUGUUGGGAAAGCGAGCUGGGGAAUCAUCAAUAAUGAGGGGAGCAUCUGCUCGGUCCCGCCCUUACACAAUAGUUUAAAGACCACAAUAGUUCCAACACAGUCGAGCUCAGCCCCAGAGUCCCCCAUUCCCGGAACGGCAGCGGGAAUUUCGACAGAUGGCUGCCCAUCCAUAUCACAAUACCUUAAGAGUAGUGAAUGAGGUUAAACCCAAACUAGCAGACCAAGCCAACCACCCCCAGUCCCAGCUCGAGACGAGUUUCAUGACAGCCGAGCAGUCCAACUGAUUGACUAUAGCUUGGCGUAUAAACAGUACACCCCGUUGAAAAUUUCUAUGGAGGAGUUGUAUAGGAGGAUCAAGGGACGAGGCCUACUAUAUCCUCCCAUCCCUGUAACUAAACCAGCUCACAAACGGGAUAAAAGCAGAUUCUGUAAAUUCCACGAUACUCAUGGUCAUACUAUCAGCUAGUGCAGUGAUCUGAAAAAUCAGGUGGAGGAUUUGGUGAGAAACUGUUACUUGGAUGAGUAUGUAGAUGGGACAUUCCCUAUUAUUGAAUCACAAUAUACGCUGGGGGAUGGAGUCGGGAGAGAUCUAGAGCGUGAACAGCCAACUAUCCAGGUGAUAGCAGAAGGGCCGACAUUGGCUGGAGAUUCGAACAUGGUACAGAAGAAUUAUAGGAGAUAUGCUCUGACUAGCAAAGAGAUGUUUUUCAAUUUGCCAACAGUUAAGAGGGCGAAAGUGAGGCAAGUCCCAUUAUGUAGACAAAUGAUGAUGAAGAAGAUGUUUUAUACCCUCAUGAGGAUGCACUAAUGAUUAAGGCGAUGGUGGCGGGUAAAGAAUUUCGGCGAAUACUAGUGGAUACGUGCAGCUCGGUUGACAUAUUGUUUAAGUCGGCCUUAGAUGAUAUGGGAAUUGCGGAUUUAAAAUUGGAACGGACGAACACAUCCUUGAAGGGAUUUGGAGGAGGACGAUUGACCCCCAUAGGGAUCGUCGAGCUGCCGAUUACUAUAGAAUCGAAGCCGUUUGAAAAAACAGUGAUGCUGGACUUUGUAGUGGUGGAAGAGAAAAGCCAUACCAGAUGAUACUGGGGCGACCUUUCAUGAGGGUAAGUCAAUGUGUUAUAUCCACACAUUAUCUGGCAUUGAAAUACAGAGUGAACGGGGUUGUGGGCGUAGUAAAAGGAGACCAGAGAAUGGCGAAGAGUUGUUAUGCUACAGCCACCAAAGAAACAUUACAAGUUACCACUCUGAAUAACCAAGGAAACUCUAAAAAGGGUCGCCAGGAACCAGCGGAGAAAUUGGAAGAGGUUUUGGUAAGCAAGAAUGACCUUAACAGAGUGGUAAGGAUCGAGUCGAGAUUCGGCGAGGCAAUAAAAGGCGAGCUGAUAAAGUGCCUACAGUCCCAUGCAGAUAUAUUUACCUGGUCGUAUCAGGAAAAGUGCAAGACCGGUGAGGCAGAAAAUGAGAUGCUUUAACUAGAAAAGGUAUGAGGCCAUAAAUGUUGAAGUAGAAAAGUUGUUGUGAGUAGGAUUCAUAGGGAAGGCUAAAUACCCGGAAUUGAUUUCUAAUGUGGUGUUGGUAAAAAAGGUCAAUGGAAAAUGAAGAAUGUGUGUGGAUUUCACAGACCUUAAUAAGGCCUGCCCAAAUGAUGACUUUCCCCUACCUAAAAUAGAUCAAUUGGUUGACUCAACGACAAGCCACAGUCUGCUUAGCUUCAUGGAUGCCUUUUCGGGAUACAACCAGAUACCCAUGGACAAGUAGGAUGAGGAGAGUACCACGUUUAUAACUAACAUGAGCUUGUUUUGCUACAGGGUGAUGCCCUUUGGCCUGAAAAAUGCAGAGGCUACCUAUCAAAGGUUGGUGAAUAAAUUUUUCAAGCCAUUGAUUGGUCACACUAUGAAAAUAUACGUGGAUGAUAUGAUCAUGAAGUCUAGAGAGCCAAUAGACCAUGUGAAGCACUUGGAAGAGACCUUCAAACUGUUGAGGAAGUACCAAAUGAAGCUGAAUCUGGAGAAGUGUGCAUUUGGAGUUAGCUCGAGUAAAUUCUUGGGGUUCCUGCUGAGCCACCGAGGGAUAGAGGCCAACCUAGAAAAAAUAUGGGUUGUACUAGAAAUGAAAUCCCCUCAAACAAUUAAGGAGGUGCAGAGCCUUACAGGGAAGUUGGCGGCAUUGAACCGGUUCAUCUCGCGAGCCACGAAUAAGUGUCACCAUUUCUUCUAAACCAUAAAGAAAAUUGAGGAAAAUGGAGUGGACUGCAGAAUGUGAGGAGGCAUUUGGUCAACUGAAUGAAUAUCUUGCCAGUACCCCAUUAAUAUCGACUUCGAGAGAGAGUGACGGGUUGUAUUUAUACUUAGUUGUCUCUAAAUGGGCUACCAGCUUGGUAUUAGUCAGAGAAGGUGAGGGAAAGCAACACCCCGUGUACUACACUAGCAAGGCCUUAGUGGACGCAGAAACUAGAUAUCCGCUGAUGGAGAAAUGGGCACUGGCUUUAAUAACGGCAGCACGCAAGCUCAGACCAUAUUUUCAGGCCCACUCGAUAGUAGUGAUGACCGACCAACCUCUUCGGCAAACGCUCCUAAAACCAUAUGCAUCUGGUCGAUUAGUAAAAUGGUCUGUAGAGCUGAGUGAAUUCGACCUAUCUUAUAGACCUCGAGGAGCAAUCAAAGCCUAAGCCUUGACUGAUUUUAUGGUUGACCGUACGGAACCAAGGGAAGGAGUUCAGAAGGAACAACCGGUUGAACCGGAGAAACCAGAGGGGGUGUGGCUGGUAACGGUUGAUGGGUCACGUAGUGAAUAAGGGUCCGGAGCAGGAGUAGUAAUACGAAGCCGAUAAGGGGCUGAGGUGUCCUAUGCAGUGAAGUUCGAAUUCCAGCUCACGAAUAAUCAAGCAGAAUAUGAAACCUUCAUCACCGGGCUCGGGUUGGCACACAUUAUGAGCAGAAAUGGUAGAAAUCUGAGCAGACUCUCGGUUAGUCUGUAAUCAACUCAAUGAACAAUUCCAAGCAAGGGAAGAGAAUAUAGAGCUUUAUUUGAAGAAGGCAAAGCAAAUGAUUAGGCUCUUCCAAGAAGUAGAAAUAAAGUAGAUAUUCUAGACAGAGAAUUUCCGAGCAGAUAUGUUGGUAAGAAUGGCAGCAAUUGCGGAUCCGAAGUUACCCAAGUCGGUCCCAUUGGAAGUAAGGACCUCGCCAAGCAUAGGGGAGAUUUUCCUGUAAACAUCUUGGGCUAACUUAAGUAUCGGAUGGUUUACGCCGGUAAAACUACCGGCGUCUCUGAUCUAUUUCUGUGAACGCAAGAUUAGAAAGAAGAAAAAUGGUGAUUUCAAUCUCAGGAGCUCGAACAAUUGUUGAAGCAAGGAGAGGGUGAUAUCUUCUCUAUUAACCAUACAAACGUUGAUAAAAUUAUCUAAUCAAAUAAAGAACGAUCAAAUUUCAGCAUCAACAAAAUAAUUAAAAGAAACGAACAAUUUUCAUUAGAAUAUACAGUAAUCUUAAUAUCGCCUUGCUGGAAGGAUGCCCUUAAUUUCGCUGAUAUUAGAUUCUGUAAAAGGAUUGGAUCCAAUAAAAUCUUGCAAUUUGGAUCACGGCAUGCAGAUCUCACCUUAUCUUAUCUGAACUAAAUCUAGUGACCUUUUUAUUUUCACAAUUGAUCUUUAUCUAUAAUCAAUCAAAUGGUGUCUGCUCGAUAUUUAUCAGUUUGGAUAAUUUUUUUAUUUAAAAAAAAUCUGAAUUUUGACGUAACUCACUUUAGUUUCCAUCUUCCUCACUGAACCGGUGACGACAACGCACUUACGUAGGUAAAUUUGUUUCAGGUGCAUAAUUGUUAACUAUGCAAGUUGAGAUAAUAAUUAAUUAGACACGUGUUUCUUUUGAGAUGGGAAAAUUUCAUAAUGAUAAUUUAUUAAAAAUUAUUACUGUUUGUUAGUGUUUGACAUAAUAAUUAGAAAUCUAAAAACGAAAAGCCAUAGCCUCUCCGCCGCUGCUUUUUAGUAGGUAUUCUCCCCUUGUCUGUUAUCAAAGUAAAUAAUUAAGUGCAGUACAGAUACACUACACGUAUUUCGUACAAAGCAACAGCACUGCUACAGUGCUAAUUUUUAAAAUUUACUGUGCACUUAAAACUCCACUACAAUGAACAGUUUAAAAUGUUUCUAUAAAAAUCAAGAGGAAUACUUAGACUCCUCAGGUUUUUCAUUUCUCUUCUUCUCUCCUUUCUCUCUAAAAAACUACUUCUUCUCUCUUCUUCUUCUCUUACUACUCUCUCUCUCUCUCUUCUUUCUCGCCUGAGACAAAAGAAGUUUUCUGUAUUCAAGGAAUUUUCCUAUCAUCAGUUAAGUUCCUUGUUUUCAGAAUUUUUCUGGAAUCUCUCUUGUAAUCUUUUAAAGUUGUCGGAUCAAAAGAAAUAAAUGUAAAUAUUUUUAAAGUUUUGGAAAAGAAAUUUUUUUGGCAUUAUUUAUUAAAUAUUUAUUUAAAAAAUAUAAAAAAAACUGCUGUACCGUACAUCCGCCUUGGCCGUACAGCAGUAAUAAUUUAAUUUUUUUAAUAAUAUCUUUAAAAUAAAAAUAUUAUUGUACAAGAAUAAUAUUAUAAAAAUAAGUAAAAAACAAAAAAAAUUGAUAGAAAUGUCAUUUUAAUGACAUGCAUAUUUUUAGAUAUUUUUAAAAAUAUAAAAAUUAAAUAAGUAUUAACUCAAAAUAUCGACAAACGAGCUUUUACCCAACCGAAUAUUUCAUGAAACUCUAUAAAUAAUAAUUAAAGAUUUUUACCCAACAGUAAAUUAAAGAUUCCUGCGAGCCCAUUAUAAAAGGAUGAACUAAUGUCCAAUCUAUUUAAUUAGCUUAGUGUGUGAAGUUCACUUAACUUUUAUCACCUUUAUUUCGAAUGGCAACUCCGACGAACGGCAAUGGCAGGCUCAAUCAGAGAUGGACAGUCCAGGGCAUGACUGCGCUUGUAACUGGUGGAACCAAAGGACUAGGGUUCUUAAUCGAUUCUUAUCUCUCUAGCUAGCUCUUAUAUGCAUUCUUUUCCUAUAUAUUAAUAGUGCCUGCAUGUGCUCAUUUUUUUGUUUCUGUUAUUGGUGCGUUGACUAGUCAUGCUGUAGUGGAGGAACUGGCUGAGCUUGGUGCCGCUGUGCAUACAUGCUCUAGGAAUGAAGCAGAUCUUAGUGAAUGCAUACGUGACUGGAAAACUAAAGGCUUCAAAGUCACCGGUUCAGUGUGCGAUGUAUCAUCUCGAAUUGAACGGGAAAAGCUUAUAAAUCAAGUCUCCUCUCUGUUCGAUGGAAAACUUAACAUUCUCGUAUGAUUCAUAUAUGGUGUUAAUUAUAUUGCAUAUUAAUUAAUUGUUGUUAUAAUUAAUCCCGUGGUGCAGUGAGUUCUAAUUUGCUUUACUAGCUAACUACUUAAUUAACACAAUCCAUAUCACUUAUCACUAUGUAUAUGUAUGUAUGCGAUGUGACUCUCUCUAGAUAAACAACGUCGGGACGACUAUAAGAAAGGCGACUGUGGAGUACACAGCAGAAGAUUUCUCGUUUCUCAUGGCUACCAAUUUUGAGUCUGCUUACAAUCUGUGCCAACUUGCACAUCCUCUUUUGAAAGCUUCGGGGGCAGCAAGUAUUGUUCUAAUGUCUUCUGUUUGUGGGGUGGUGUCAGUUGUUGACGCUGGAUCCAUAUAUGGAGCUACGAAAGGUGACCCUUGACAACAUUUUUCAACAUCAUAUCAUGAGCUCUAGUCUUGUCUUUGAACCCCGUGACUGGGAGGCUCUAUGGCAUUACGACUUGUCUUUAAACAUUAAACUUGAACUUUCUCUAACCCCAACUAGUUAUAUGUUAAUCACAGGAGCCAUGAACCAUCUUGCGAGGAUUUUGGCAUGCGAGUGGGCUCAAGACAAUAUUAGGACCAAUUCUGUCACACCUUGGUUCGUCGCGACUCCUUUAACUGAAUCUGUAAGAACUAUUUUAUUCACCCUGACUCUCAAUGUUAUAUAUAUGAAUGCAGUUUCAUUUUUCUUAUUAAUUAGUUAAAAAAAUUAAUAAGAAAAAUGAAAGUGUGUUUUUCUCCCAAGUUAUUAUAUGAUUGAGGAUGCCCUCUUAUAAAUUUGCAGUUUCUGAAUGAUGAGGCAUUUUUAAAGGAAGUCGAGGGUCGAACUCCAAUGAGACGCACAGGGAAGCCAAAUGAGAUAUCUUCAUUGGUAGCAUUUUUAUGCAUGCCUGCAGCCUCUUAUAUAACUGGUCAGACAAUUUCCGCUGACGGAGGAUUUACAGUGAAUGGAUUCUUCUUCCCAAGUACCUGAUUUAUUUUGUCCACUUCUCUGAAAUCUUCGAAUCUGAUAACUUAGUGUUGUGAUUUCUCAGGCCCUAAUAAACCGCCAGCAUGUAUCUCUUUUGAUUUUUGACUCAUCUUCUCGAUUGUCGUUUAUUUCCCUUUUAUCGAGUGUUGUCGCUUUAUUCCAUUUUAUUUCCCUUCUAUCAAGUGUUGUCGCUUUAUUCCGUUAAAAUCACGAAUUGAAUUCGUACUGAACCUUAAAUAAAUCGGUUCCAAAUAUUCUAAUAUCCUUUAAUUCAUUCCCUUUAAUUCGUUUCUGUAUAAAAUUAAAUUAAUUAUUAAAGGAUUGAGUGGAUUCAUUUAAAUUCGUUUACAAUCUAAUGAACAAAAUCAAUUCAUUACGGGCGGGCAAUGAAGAAAUACAUCUUCAAAUUCAAGAGAAGAAACAACAAAUCGAGUAAGGAAAAUGAAGAGUGGAGACGGGUCGGCUGAUGCCUUGCUUCCUUUUUCUUUUUCGGCUUAUUAUCAUUUCAUAUUUACAAAACUAACCUUAUACUUUGUAAAUGUUUAAACCAAUUUUUUUUUUAUUUUAAUGUAAAUAAAUAAUUUUAUAAAAGGAAUCAUAAAAUGUAUACACUCAUAAACCAUUUUUUUUUAUAAGAUUAAGAUUUUCUUCUGAUCUGAUCAUAUUCUGAGUUGGUAGUUAAUAAAUAAAAAAGUAAAAGAAGUUAAAUCUUACUCAUAUAUUAUCAUUAAAAGACACAUGGAAGAAGAUUUUUAAAUGUUCAAUAGAGUUCAGAUUAUGAGAGAAUCUUUUUCCUUUUUUAUAACCUGUUUAUUUUUUCCAUUUCCUUUUUUAAGUUUUUUUUUCACUUAAUAAACAUGAAAUGAAGAGAUAAAUCUAUUAAAAAAAAACCUGCAAUUCCUUUCGUAACAUGGUCAAAAUGGAUCAAUUAAGCCGUAUAAAAGAUAGAAAACCUUUAGAUAAAAAACUAAUCAAAUUUUGUAAUAGAAAAAGGUUUUUGAAAGCAUUUUUUAAGACCCUUUGGAAAGUGCAAUUCAAAAAACCUUGGCGAUUCAAGUUUUCAAUAUUUGCAAGAACUUUAAGACUCGAGCCUGCUCGCUAUAAACUUUUCCUUUAUACUCCAAAUGAAAAGCGAUCUCACAGAGUACAUAUUUGGUUACACAACUAGAUCAACGGUACGUGAUGGUCAUAAACAAGGGUUGGACAAUAAGGACUCGAUUGAAAUAGGCGGUGGCGAUAGAUGCACAACGAACGGUGGUGAAAAUUUAUUAUAUAAUAGAGAUUAUAAAUUUAUCGAGCAUUAAUUUUUAGAGAUUCUACUGUAUAUAGGUUUGUUGCAGUAAAUUGUCUAUGUAAAUUAGUUAAUGAAUUGUUUAACACACAAAGUGUUCCUUUUUUUUUUUAAGAUUUGACACUAUAAAUUUUAACAAUUUAAUAUUUUACUCUCCAUUAAGAAAUCUUUUUCAAAUUUUGGCACCCAAAAAUGGCCAAGUUUAUAAUUCUAGUGCACCAAGUGCCUAGCUGGUUGUACUAGCUAGAGUUGGUAAAAUUUGACACGACCUGAUUACCUAACACGAAUAUGACACAAAUAAAUAGGUAUGAGUCGUCAAAUUUGACACGAUUAUUAAAUGGGAUUGGUUCGGGUCGACACAAUUUUUUUCGUAUCGGGUUAGAGUUAAAGUUCUUGACUCAUUUAUCCGAUCAAUGACACGAUUAUAUUUUUUAUUAUAAAUCAAUGUGUAGGUUGUUGUCAUCAAAACUCAAAAUAUUGAGAUCAUAGUUCUCUCUCUCAAAGAAUGAACAUAUAAAUAGUGUUUCAUUCAUAAAAUUUUAUAUAGAUUUAGAACUUCAAUAGUUUAAAUGUGUGAAAUAUUGGUAGACUUAUAUAUUUUAUAAUAUUGAUAUAUAAUAUUAUUUACAUAUAUAUAAUUAAAACUUUAAUAUUGCAAAUGUGUAAUAUUCUGGUCAUAUAUAUAAUAAUGUGCAAAUAUUUGUUGUAAAUUUUGUUAAAUAUAUAGAUAUAUUAAGUAGGUUAUUAGGUAAUUUAUUUUAAUGAUAGCAAUGGAUUGGAUCUAACCCAAGAUCCAUGUGAUCCAAAUCCAAUCAAAUCAGAUUUGGAUUGGAUUUGAAUAUCAAUGUACAGAUCUAAGACGGAUAUGAAGCAAGUCUAGAUACGUCUUAAUAUCUAAAUUCAUAUCCAUAUCCACUCAUUUUUUAAUUUUAUUUUAUUUUAAAAUUUUCUUAACAAUUGUGUAGUUAUAAAUGACAAUAAAUUUUAUUUAUAACAUAUUAGUGGUAUUUAUCAUGUAUUUAAAAAUCUUAAAACUUAAAGGUUAUUUUUAUAAAUUUAAAGGUCAGCCAUCCCCAAAGCAUGUAUAUGCAAUAUUCAAAUUGCAAACCAAGCACUAACGUCUGGCGAUGUAUUUUAUUAUAUUGGCCAAAUAUUUUUUAAGGAAUAUAGUUAUUCAUAUAUUUAUCAAAUAUGGUCAUAAUAAAAAUAAUAAAGUAUUGAAUAUAAAUCAUAUUUAAUUUAUAUGUCAUAUCUAAUUUUGUAGGAAUGAUGAUGGGUGUGCCGCGGAUAUUAGAAUGAUGAACGAGAUAGUAGAAUAUUAUAUUGAUCUUAAUCCUGCAAUUACUUUUAAAGGAUAUUUUAUUAUUUUUCUUAUUUGCUUGUUUUGGUGUAAAAGUAUAAGCUACAAUAUACAUUAUAUUUUUUAGAUAAAUUAUUAUAUAUAUAUAUAUAUAUAUAUAUAUUGGAUCUGGAUAUGAAGCGAAAAACAUGGAUUCAUGACUGUUCUGGAGCAGAUAAAAUCUUGAUUUUUAUUAUAGAUAUGGAUGUACAUCUCGAUGAUAGUAUAUCCAACUCAUAUAUGUCACAUUGCCAUCCCUAACCCAUUUAUUUUUCAUGUCUGGUUAGGGUCUCAAUAUGUUGACACGAUUCUUAAAUGAAUCGUGUUUGGGUCAACCCUUUUAAUAAGGACUCGAUUGAAAUAGGCGGUGGCGAUAGACGCACAGCGAACGGUGGUUGAGAUUAGUUAAUUUUCGAUAUUAUAUUAUUCAAAUUCAUAUGUACAUAGAUAUUAUUUGAUUUACAUACUGAACUGUACGCUAGGUAAAUAACGUGGGAACAAGUGUGCAAAAAGCCAACAUUGGAGUACAAUGCUGAAGAUUUUUCAUUUGUAAUAACAACCAAUUUCGACUCAGCUUUCCACUUGUCCAUUUCCAAGUCUAAUAGUCUCAAUUCACAUUUCCCAUUAGGGAAUGGUUUUGAUAUUAUUGACAAUUCUUAAUAAGAAACUGGAUUCUUUAAUAUAAUGUUUUGGCCUCUUAUUGCUUGCAGCAUCUGGUAAACGGGGAAUUUUUGCACCAACUCAAGUCUCGAACUCCAAUGGGACAGCCUGGGGAGAAAGAGGAGGUUUCUUCUCUGAUAGCCUUUCUGUGCAUGCCGGCAGCCUCUUAGAUAACCGGUCAGACUAUUUGUGUUGACGGAGGAUUUACAGUGAAUGGCUUCUUCCUCCCAAGCACCUGAUCGCGAUCGCUUACAAGCAGCUAGCUCAAGUUGUUAAGGAAAAAUGGAGUCCCAUUUGCGGUGGUAAAAUUUUAUUUAUCUCUAGCUAAGUGCUCUCUAGUUCAGUAAAAUCUCGACAAGUUUAGCCAGGAUAAUAAUAAAUUCAUUGCUCCUUUUUGCAUUUCGUUAUUCAAUUCUAUUUUACAGGUAUCAGUUUUGAUUAGCUCCUAUAUUUCAGAGAUUGUUCCCAAUUUUUGUAAUUAGCCUUUACAAAAUUAAUGGAAUUUCCAAUCACAUACGAAAGGAAUCCAAGCAUUAAGUGAUUACAAAUUUUUUUGACAGAUUCGAUGAUGAAAUUAAAUCACACUGAUUACAAAGAACCAAUGCCAAAACAAAGGCAACCAUCUCAUAUAAAAGUAAAAUAAAGCAAAAUUGCAGUUACUAGAAAUUUCUCAUAAUGUUAGAUACCAAUUCCGUCAGGAAGACUUUGGUAUUUGUCAACUGUGAGCUGUAUAAUUACAAUUAAUACGUGGCAGAAAAGAAUUUGCGAAUCAACUCAAACGAUAUAAAAGUCAACGGAUUUUUGUUAACUGCUGUACAUGUCCAAUUACAUAUGACGACACGAUUUGCAAUUACCAAUGAUUAAUAAGAAUUAUUUUCCGAUAUUUUUUUUAUUGACCCUUCUGACUUUCUAAAAGUACUUACUCAUAAUAGAUAUUUUAUUAUUUAUAUUUUGAUUUAGGUAAAUUAAACUUAUUUUUAAUAUAUUAUUCAUAUUAUAUGUGAGUGUGUAUAUAUAUAUACACACAUAUGAAAAAUGGGUUAAACUGUGCAAAUAUAUGUAUGUACAUACGAAAAAUGAUAUUUAGCAAAAGAAUUCUAAAAUACAUUAGAAUUAAUACAACCAAUUAAUGUAUGCGUGAUAUGUGCAGUUGAAUUUUAUAUAACCACUAAUUAUAUUCUUAUUCUGUAAAAUAAAUAUACACACGUCAUAAUUUUAAUAGUUUGUUGUGUAACUGACGUGCUAUCUUAGAUAUAUUUUUUAAUUUCUCAUAUUUGAUGGCGGUGGCUCCUGUGGAACAAUUGGGUGUGAUGAUGAAAUGCCAGCUUUAUCUCUGGAGAGAUUAAAACCAUUCAUUCUAAUUUCUAUAUAUGGUGGGGUCGUGCUCGUGCAUCGAGCUUUCAUAUGCAUGGCCGCCUCCGAAGACCAAUCACGGUUUAUAUAGAUGUACAUGUCGUCUGUUACACGAACUUCAAAUGAUCACCAACUUCCGCUGACAUUAUAGCCAUUCUUUGAAAGUUUACGUACUGUCGGCGCCGCGUUUUCACGACAACUUGAUUGCAUCAAGCCCAUAUACAUUCUUAUCAUUAAUUUAUCUGACAAUUUAAUCAGUGCCAUGGUCUUCAUCGACUGCGCAACUUGUUGCUGCCUUUUGAUUUGCCUCAUAUCAUAUAUAUGCAUAUGCGUAACCUUCGCAGCCGGCUAAGCAAAACUAAGGCAAUAUAAUAGUGGCCAGCAAUACUAGAAGAGGAAGAGACAGAGCAGAGAUCAGAAUGGCUCAGCCUCAGCAGACAGAGAGCCAUAGCAGGCAAAACAGAUGGAGUCUUCAGGGCAUGACAGCUCUUGUUACUGGUGGCACCAAAGGACUCGGGUAUCUUCAAUUAAUUUUCCUUUGUUCUUUUUCUUCUUUUAUUUCUAUUGAGAGGCAUACAUGCGAUGAUCUAAUUAAUCCCAUAUCAGUAUAAUAAUGCGUCUAAUAUAUUCGUUAAUUAUCGUCAUCAGGCUUGCUGUUGUAGAGGAACUGUCAAUGCUAGGCGCCACUGUGCAUACAUGCUCUAGGACUGAAACAGAGCUUAAUGAAUGUAUACAUCACCUGCAGAUGAAAGGUUUGAAAGUCACCGGUUCAGUCUGUGAUGUAUCGUCUCGACCUCAAAGACAGACGCUAAUCAACACAGUCUCCUCUCUGUUUAAUGGCAAACUUAACAUCUUUGUAUGCCUCCAAAAAUCCAAUUCAAUUUUGUUUUUGUUAGAUUCCUGAACUCUGCAUAUUUACUUAAUAAAUUGUGUAUAAAUUGUAAAAUUAUGCUCAACUAUUUUACCAUAUACGUAGGUAAACAAUGUUGGAACAAGUGUACUAAAGCCAACUCUCGAGUACAACGCUGAAGAUUUUUCAUUAGUAAUGUCUACAAAUUUCGAGUCUGCCUUCCACUUAUGUCAACUUGCACAUCCUCUGUUGAGAGCUUCUGGGGCAGCAAGCAUUGUUCUCAUGUCUUCAGCACUAGGCAUUGUAUCAGCAAACGUUGGAACCGUCUAUUCAGCUACUAAAGGUAAUUAGAUUACUUAAUCCCGUUUAUUUUAAGUGCAAAGCAUAUAUAACUGCGUUUUAAUUGAACUGAUGAUCGUUUUUAUUUAACUGCAGGAGCAAUGAAUCAACUUGCAAAAAAUUUGGCAUGUGAGUGGGCAAAAGACAACAUAAGGACCAAUUCUGUCGCUCCUUGGUACAUCAGAACUCCCUUUACUGAACCUGUAAGAACUAAGAGCUACCACUUUACCGGCUAGUUAGAGCAUCAACGUUGCUGUGCAAUCCAGGAACAAUUACUAAACUACUUGAUAAAUAUUCCUCUUGCUUGCAGCUUCUUGGUAAUGGGAAAUUCGUGGACGAAGUGAAGUCUCGAACUCCAAUGGGACGCCUUGGGGAGCCGAAGGAGGUGUCUUCACUGGUGGCAUUUCUUUGUAUGCCUGCAGCCUCUUACAUAACUGGCCAGACUGUUUGUAUUGAUGGAGGAUUCACUGUCAACGGAUUCUUCUUCAGCUGAUUCAGAAACAGCUAAAAGCCCAAUUUUCUGCUUGUUUUGACGGAUCAUAAUGUAUACAUUCCUUCUUGUUCUAUUGAAAAGAAAUUUGUGUCACUUAAUAAAGGAAAAGUUUGCGUAAUAUUUGCGUUACCAUUCUAUGAAACUAAUCAAAUUAAUGAUCACCAUAAUUUAUCAAGUUUAAUUUGUGAAUAGAACUUGUGAAGCCUUAAUCUACGGCCACGUGUUGAUUUGCAUAAGAGACUAACUUAACUUGGAUGUGCACGUAGCUUUCAGACCAAGUACAUCCUCAAUCUUUUGUCCUAUAUAUGGAAUUUGAGUGUUGCCGAGGGUCUUAUCAUUCCAUGGUCAUGAUUUUGUGGCUACGGUGUCGGCCUUGUUUUAUAUGCUGUCUUUUCCCCCACUCGGAGCAUUUGGAUUUGCAUCCAUCUUCUACUGGCUACUAGCUAGCUAGUACCUUCUGCUGCAACCUGCAAGUCACAUGAUCAGCUGUAUAUAACCUUUCAAUAGUAUCUGAGACAAACAACAGCAACAAUAGAAUUAGAAAAAAAAAAAAAUGGCUCAGACAAAUGGCUGUCGAGGGCAAAGUAGAUGGACUCUUGAGGGCAAGACAGCUCUUGUCACCGGAGGAACCAAAGGACUUGGGUUCUUCUCCUCACUUGUUGUGUUUCUUUACAAUGAUUAGUUAGUUACCAAAUUGAUAUGUGAUCAUAUAUUGCCCAUCAGGCAUGCUGUUGUGGAGGAACUUGCAGAGCUCGGUGCGAUUGUGCAUACAUGUGCCAGGAACGAAGCAGAUCUCGAUGAAUGUUUACGCGAGUGGAAAAUGAAAGGUUUCAAAGUCACCGGUUCAAUUUGCGAUGCAUCAUCUAGAGGAGAGCGAGAGAUGCUGAUGGACAAAGUCUCCGCUCUGUUCAAUGGGAAACUCAACAUCCUUGUAUGUUGUUCAUUUUCCAAAUCCAUUUUAUUAUUAACUAACUAUCAGAUUCCUGAGUUAUAUAUGACUGUACGUGACCGUAGAUAAACAACGUUGGGACAAGUAUAAGAAAACCGACUGUAGAGUACACAGCUGAAGAUUUCUCAGUUCUCAUGGCAACCAAUUUUGAGUCUGCUUACCACUUGUCCCAACUUGCGCAUCCUCUGUUGAAAGCUUCAGGUGCAGGAAAUAUUAUUCUCAUGUCUUCGAUUGCCGGCGUGGUAUCCUUAAAUACUGGAAAUAGCAUAUAUGCUGCUACAAAAGGUAUUUAAAGUAACUUCAGCAUAUACAUGUAUUGUAAACUAAUGACUAUCCCAAGUUAGCAUAACUGGAUUUAAGUACUUGCAGGAGCUAUGAAUCAACUUGCAAAGAAUUUGGCAUGUGAAUGGGCAAGAGACAACAUAAGGACUAAUUCUGUUGCGCCUUGGUUCAUCAGAACUCCCUUAGUUGAACCUGUAGGAACUAUAUCGCGGCUUAAUUAAUUUUGUGAAUUCAAUUCGCGCACUGUCUUUGUUGAAACAAUAAAUUAAAAUUGGAUUGUUUGAUAUGUUCCCCAGUAUCUAUCCGAUGAGAAAUUCUUGGAGGAAAUAAAGUGUCGUACGCCAAUGGAAUGCACAGGAGAGCCAGAUGAGGUGUCUUCAUUGGUAGCAUUUUUAUGCAUGCCAGCAGCCUCCUAUAUAACCGGCCAGACUAUUUGUGUUGAUGGAGGACUGACUGUGAAUGGCUUCUUCUUCCCAAGAACGUAACUAUAUACGCAUAAUGCAAUAUUUGGUUUCGACCAAUAAAUAUAUGUAUGUGUAUGCCGCUACCAUCGGGAAGCUAUAAACGUUUCCAUUAAUAAAUCGAAUUUCAAACUCCUAUUUGAUUUCGGUUGAGCAAAUGACAUAUGCUAUAUAUGACAUUACCUUUGUUAAAGUUAGCUAUGAAGUUAAGCUAAGUAAACAUCUUUAACUUCCAAACCAAUACGCGUUGUUUAUCAAACAUUUUACAACUGCAUGGCUUAACCAAAUUUAUGCAUAUAAAAAACAUAAAAAUUAAAAACCCAAUUAAUUAUAUGGACCAAGCAACUUGCAGGCACGCUUAGCUUGCAAUCCAGAUUUUCAUGAAAACAACUGUUGGAUAAACUCGGCUAUAAUUUCUUAACUGUUGAAAGCACUGAUUAAACAUUUUAUGACUGUUUCAUGUCUAAACAAAGCCACCGUGGAGGUAUUAAGCUACCUAUUGAUGCUGCAAUCUGGUCGUCUUAUGGUUGACUAGGUUGUCUCAUCAACAAUUACACUAACUCUGAUUGGAACACCGCACUUUUGACGCUCUCCCCAAUUAAUCAAAUCCAACGACUUUAAUCAACCUCAUUUUUUCUUCGUAACCUAUGUUUACAGAAACAAAUUAGGGGUGCCGGUGGUUUUUUCGGCGAAAACUCUCCAAUACUUAAGUCAGUAUGUGGGGUUUCGAGAAAAACGUUGGAUUUUAGAUUUGUGCAAGUUAAUAAUCGCUGAAUAAAAGAAAAGUGUUUUAGAAGGUUUCUUUGGAGUUGAAUUCUGAAAUCAAAUUGACAGAGUUUCCCCCUCUUUUUCUUUUCUUGUCCUUUCUUUUAUAUAUUUUUCCCAGUUUUAUAGGCAGCCGCCCCUUGGCUCUAGAACCUUCCCCCAUGUCUCCCAUACUUCGAUGAUCAUGAAUCCUCAUGGACCGCGAAAACCGUGCAUUGAUUAUCAUGUUUCCGCAAACGGUUCGAGGUGUGGCAUAACCGCCGCGUUAACGUGGGAUUGUGCCCACUUUUUUAAGUGACAGGUCCCUGGUCGGUCAUUAGGCGUACCCCAGAGAGUGUUUUCCACCAAAAAUCUGCUCAUGGCCCAUUAGCCAAGGUCAUCAAGUGUACCCCAGAGAGUGUCUUCCACCAGAAAUCUGCUCAUGGCCCAGUAGCCGAGGGAACCCAUCCUCGACCAGGUAACGGGGACAUGCACGGCUGAUGCUCUUUUAAUCACCCAAACACUACCCCUAAAUUAAAUUCCUGUGGCAGCCACCGAUGGCCACCACAAUAAUAUCAUUGUGGUGGAGAUCACGCUAAGUAAGCUUAUGGUCCAAAUUCACCAAACAUCACUUCCAGGAUUUGUUUUAUCCUUAGAUUUGAUAUUAGCGAGCUACUUAUCGUUUGACCCACGCAUCAUGAUUCCGUGAGCAGUGACUUGAGUCUUCUCCCUAAUUGAAAUCGCAUCCUCUACGAGUACCGCUGGGCAUUCGCUGGCUAGCUGCUCACACCACACCAUCGUUAAUCACUUGCUUUCCAAUAGUUAGAAUUCACAAACCUUAAGCAUACAAUCUGUUUGGCUAGCAGGAAAGUGACGAAGGAAGAAAGAAAAGAUAAACUGAAUAAGAGAAUUUUAUUAAUCUCAAAUCACACAGUUACAUUCAAGCUUUCAUCAACUUAUAUUACUGAUUAACAGAAGUAACAACCUCUGUAAUAGCUGUUAAAUAACUAUUGGUUAAGCUAAGCUAAACAAUAACAAUCUAACUAAUUUGUCCAGCUCAGCUAUCCAGCUCAUCAAUCAUAGUCAAGUGAAUCUCAGCCAUUGAUCUGCUGCUGUUGAUUAAGCAUCUCAACACCUCUUCUCAAGCUUAAUGGUCGUGGAACAACAUUAAGCUUGUCUCUAUAGUAAUUAAAAAAAGAGUAAGCCAUAGGCUUUGUAAGCACAUCUGCAAUAUUCCACUCACUUGGUACAUACUUGAUCUCCACUUGUUUGCCCGUUACCUUUUCCCUUAUGAAAUGCACAUCCAACUCUAUGUGCUUGGUUUUGGCAUGAUAUACUGGAUUUGUUGCUAGUGCAGCUGCACCAUUGUUGUCACACCAGAUUAUUGGUAUUUGGCUACACUUCAGUUUAAGCUCUCCAAGUAAAGCUUGAAUCCAAACAAUUUCUGCACAAGCUGUUGACAAUGCUCUAUACUCUGACUCUAUGCUAGACCUUGCUACAGUUUGUUGCUUCUUGGAGGACCAUGAAACCAGAUUCUGCCCAAGAUAUACACAAUAUGCUCCAACUGACUUUCUGUCAUCCACAUCACACGCCCAAUCUGCAUCUGUAUAUGCUGUCAGACUAAUUCCAUCUCCUGCUUUAAACAUCAAUCCAUAAUCUUCAGUUGCCUUUAAGUAUCUUAGAAUUUUCUUACAAGCAACCCAGUGUUUCUCAGUUGGUGCAGCAAGAAAUUGGCUCAACUUAUUAACUGAAAAGGCAAGUUCUGGUCUUGUAAGUACCAAAUACUGUAAAGCACCUAUUAUGCUUCUAUACUCAGUGACAUUAACAAUCAAGUUAUCAUCAUUCCCUGCUCUUCUUAGUUUCUGUCCUGUACUCAUUGGAGUAUCACUUUCUCUACAAUUUUCCAUAUCAGUUCUUGUAAGCAAAUCUCUUACAUAUUUUGCCUGUGAAAGAUGUAAGCUACCCUUUGCAUCAUGUGUAACCUCAAUACCAAGGAAGUAACUGAACUCACCAAGAUCUUUUAAAGCAAAGGUAUCUCCAAGGUAUUGGAUAAAUGUUUCAAUUACUGUAUUGUUAUCACCAGUAAUUAAUAUAUCAUCUACAUAUACUAACACAGCCACAAUACCUCCAAGUUCAUGUUUGAUGAACAAAGAUGAGUCUGCUUUGGAGUUCUGAAACCCCCACUGCAACAGUGCUUUCCUUAGCCUGUCAAACCAGGCUCUAGGAGCCUGUUUCAAACCGUAAAGAGCCUUAUGCAACUGACAAACAUGACCAGAUGGAGACUGAACAAAACCCUCAGGUUGAAACAUGUAGACAUCUUCAUUGAGCUCUCCAUUAAGGAAAGCAUUGUUGAUGUCGAUUUGUCUUAUUUUCCAGCCCUUCAUCACAGCAAGACUAAGGAUAAUUCUCACAGUUGACUGUUUAACUACUGGACUAAAGGUCUCAAAGUAGUCAAUAUCAGGUGUUUGAUGAAACCCUUUUGCCACCAGCCGUGCUUUAUACUUAGAAACAGAACCAUCUGCAUUAUACUUAAUGCGAAAAACCCAUUUACACCCAACAAUUUUAGUAGCUUGAGAAGCUGGUACAAGAAUCCAAGUCUUAUUUUCCAUAAGUGCAUUAUACUCUGCCUGCAUGGCUGCUUUCCAUUUGGAAUCUGAAAGAGCUUGAGAAACUGUGGCAGGCUCUUGUUCUCCAAGAACAUAUGAAUAGGCAUGAAAUUUUGGCUUAAAUACACCUGCUUUGGCUCUUGUAAUCAUUGGGUGAUUUCCAGGCUCAAGUUUCAGCUUAUACAGACCCUUCAUAGCUACACCCUCCAGCAAAAAUGUCCUCUUCUUCUUGUCCUUGAGAAAGCAAGUAUUGCCACAAAAUUCAAUGAUCAAGGAGUUAUCAGAAGUUAGUUUAGAAAUGCUUAAAAGAUUUUUGGUGAUGUGUGGCACAAAUAAAAGAUUUUUGAGCAAUAAUCUAUGAUUUCCAACUGCUAAAUGAGUGCUUCCUAUAUGAGAAAUAGUAAGGCCAUGUCCAUUACCAAUUAAAAGCUUUUCAUUACCUUCAUAAGGCUCACUGAUGCUGAGGUUAUUGAGAUCAUUGGUUAGGUGGUGAGUUGCUCCACUAUCCAGGUACUAGUCAUCAUCCAUUACUGCUUCUGGUGUUGCCAUAUAAGCUGACAUAUUUCUUUGACCGUAGCCUUGAUUGAAAACUUGAUUCUGAUGUGGAUACCUUAUGACUGGAAUGAAAUCCUUGUUGAACCUAUCCUUGCAGGUAGCAGCAGUGUGUCCUAUGAUGAAGCACACUUGGCAUCUAGGUUGAUAUGGCUGUGAAAAAUGACCAGGCACAUGACCAGGCAUUUGAGUUCUCUCACCUUGAUUCCAAGAUCUUCCUCCAUGCAUGUUAUUUCCUCUUCCACCUUUCCUUCCUCGAUAGAAAUUUCCACCUUGAUUCCCUCUAAAAUUUCCUUGCAUCAUGUAUCCAGAAUUUUCAGAUCUUGAUGCAUCUUGAUUAAAACCAGAUCUUGAGUUGUAUGUUCCAAAACCUUUCUUAUUAUUGUUCCCUUUCUGAACAAAAUUUGCAGCAAACGCCAGAUUUGCAUCCAUAGUUUCAGCUAAAGCUUGUUGUUCUAACAUUCCCUCAUGUGUCAUUAACAUAAAGAGUGAUUCUGAUAAAUCGAGAUCUAAUCCUCUUCUUGUGAUCAAAACUGCUACAGGAUUGAAUUCUGAACCAAUUCCUCCUAACACACUCAUCAUAAAGUCAUAGUCACUCAUUGGUGCUCAUGCUGCUGCCAUGUUAUCUGAUAUGCCUUUCAUUUUGUGAAAAUAGUCAUAAACACUCAAAUCGUUCUUCUUUGUCAACAUCAUUUGAUUCUUCAGUUGCAAUGCUCUGGUUUUGUUUUGUGAGCUAGAAAGUUUUUCCAGAGCUUUCCAAACUUCAAAGGAAGUUUUGCAUCCAAGAACAAUUCCGAGAACACUCUCAGUCAUGGAAGAGAGUAGCCAACCUAGCAACUGCUGAUCAGUUCGCUUCCACAUCACAAACUCAGAGUUCGGAAUCCUCUGAUCUGUGUAUGGUGCUGUGAUUAAACCAUCAAUAUAUCCUUCUAAUCCAUUUCCCUGAAUGGAUGCCAAUACUUGCAUUUUCCAGAUCAAAUAAUUUGAUCUGUCGAGCUUAAUUGGUGUAGGAAAGGUAUAGGAAACAGUUGUGGUUUGAUUUAAGCUUGAUGAUGCCAUCUAGCUCUGAUACCAAGUUAGAAUUCACAAACCUUAAGCAUACAAUCUGUUUGGCUAGCAGGAAAGUGACGAAGGAAGAAAGAAAAAUAAACUGAAUAAGAGAAUUUUAUUAAUCUCGAAUCACACACUUACAUUCAAGCUUUCAUCAACUUAUAUUGCUGAUUAACAGAAGUAACAACCUCUGUAACAGCUGUCAAAUAACUAUUGGUUAAGCUAAGCUAAACAAUAACAAUCUAACUAAUUUGUCCAGCUCAGCUAUCCAGCUCAUCAAUCCUAGUCAAGUGAAUCUCAGCCAUUGAUCUGCUGCUGUUGAUUAAGCAUCUCAACACCAAUUAAUGUGUGGUACAGGCAUAUGACCACGACCGGCAAGAUAGAUGGAGUCUUCAGGGCAUGACAGCUCUUGUUACUGGUGGAACCAAAGGACUCGGGUACGCAUAUCGUUCUUGUUGAAUUUCUCACUUGAUUGUUCCUAAUUCUUUUGAAUAAUCAACAAAUAAACAGGCAUGUUGUUGUGGAGGAAUUCGGAGUGCUCGGAGGAAUUGUGCAUACAUGUGCCAGGAAUGAAGCAGAGCUCAAUGAAUGUUUACGUGAAUGGAAAACCAAAGGCUUCAAGGUCACCGGUUCAGUCUGUGAUGCAUCAUCUCGAGCAGAAAGAGAGAAGCUUAUAAAACAAGUCUCCUCUCUGUUCAAUGGCAAACGAAACAUCCUUGUAUGUCAACCUUAAUUUAUUCAUUCAAACCUGAUCAUUAAUUAUUAAAGGAUUUUGGUUUUGGGGGCGCCUAAAUGGUAACAUUAUAUACCUGACUAGGCUAUAACAUAAAAUCUCAAAAUUGAAGAGGAGGCUGCAAUGGAUAAAUCAUAAAAUUCAGAAGGCUAUAAUUAAUGUAAAAACAAGUGGGCAAACAUAAAAUUCACAUUUAAUAAUACGUUUUCAAUAUAUUUUCUUAUUUUUCUUAAUUUAUUUUUUUAUUUGCAUUUAGUUCCGCCACUGACGAUAGCUGUGGAUUAUAUACUGGAAGUUAAUUCUGUCGCGCCUUGGUUGAACUCCCUUAGCUGAAUAUAUAAGAACUAAUAUAUACCACUUGCGCUUAAUUCAUUCUGUUAACUAUAUAUAUCUAAGUCUUAGUUGAAACAACAAAUAAAACCAAAAUUGGAUUGUUUGAAAUGUUCCCAGCAUCUAUCUAAUGAGAAAUGCUUGGAGGAAAUUAAACGUCGAACACCAAUGGCACGCAUUGCAGAGCCAAAGGAGGUGUCUUCUUUGGCAGCAUUUCUAUGCAUGACUGCAGCCUCCUACAUAACUGGCCAGACUAUUUGUGUGGAUGGAGAAUUUACAGUGAAUGGAUUUUUCUUCCCAAUCACCUGAUCAUGACUUACAGUUUCAAACAGCUUAGCUAGCUAAAAAAAAAAAGGGGCAAUUUUUAAUUUUAUCCCACUUGCACUCAUAAAUUUUUUAUCUGUAAUUUUUCUUGAUCUGUUUAGCAAUGAUAAAUCCAAUGGCUCUGUAUCUUCUUUUGUGGUGAAUAUUGCUUGUUUGUCAUUUGUUCAUUCAUAACUGGAACGCAAUUUUACAACUUUACAUCAUCAGUAUUGAUUAUUAGCUCCUAAAUAUACUCAGAGAUUAUUUUUAUUAAUUAUAUGAAUUAGCCAACCUCUCAUAAGUGUGAAGAAAGUGGUUCAAACUCUCACAAUAAUUUAAAUUUUCUUCCCAAUGGAGAAGUUAUAGACGUCUUUCUAUACUUUGUAUCUGGAGUACUUGGGGGUAGGUCUUGGUGGGAAAGUCAUAGACACCUUACCAUACUUUGCAUCUGGAGUACUUCACUUCAUUUCCUCUGCAGUAUUGGGCUUUGGCGGUAUUUAUCAUGCACUUCUAGGACAUGAGACUCUUGAAGAAUAUUUUACAUUCUUCAGCUAUGUGUAGAAAGAUAGAAAUAAAAUGACAACGAUUUUGGAUAUUCACCUAAUCUUGUUAGGUAUAGGUGCUUUUCUUUUAGUAUUCAAAACUCUUACAAUCAGCAACUACUAUAAAUUUUAGAUAGAUGGUGAAAUCUCUGACUAAAUAAAUGCCAAAACCAAAGGAAUUAAAUCAAUUAUCUGUAAAAGAAUAGUGCAAGUCAAAAUAUAUAGGCUAAAUGCAUAAACUAUCAUAGCAGAGGUAAAUAAAGCAGAAGAUAUACGUCCCAAAUGAAGAUGAUGUAUAUAGCAAAUGAAUUAUUGUGGCCAGACAUGAUAAAUAAGGUUUAAAAUUUAUAUCUGUUGAACAGAUCAAUCAAAGAGAGAUGGACAAAUGGAGGAAUACGGAGAGCUAGGCGAAAUUGUGCGCACAUGUGCUAGGACUGAAGCGGAGCUCACUGCAAAGGCUUCAAAGUCACCGCUCCAUUACUAAAAACAAAAUUUAAUUCCUCAUUUUAUUUGGAUUUCAAAUAAUCAGUUGCGUUGUCAAAGUCAAGCUGCAAGUGUUUACCCAACAAUUUGACGGUUUGGCUCUAGCAGCUACUUAAAUGUACAAAAUGAUUAAAUCAAACCGGAUCUAAUUAAUUACUUGGAUGACUGACUACUACGUUGAUGAAGUUUGAAUAACUCAAGAUGCCCAAUAUCUUGCGAACAAUAUCACAGCAUAGCCCAAUAUAAUUCCUAAUGAAGGCCCGUAAAGGGCUUCAUCUCUGUCUGGGCUUUGAAAUUAUUUCAGAACUCGUCCGUUAUAUUUAUAUCCUAAUAUACGAUAUUAUUAAUUUUCUUGAUAAAAUCAAAAAAAAAAAAUUUGAAACAAUGAAGAAAAAAAUUAUCUAAUAACGAUAAUUUUAUUGUGAUAAAAAUAUGUUUACAAAAUUUAUUCGAAAUGAUAGGGAUAUUUAAUUGAAAUUCUAUUGUAACUUUGUGUUGUUUCUUAUAAUUUUAUUUUUUUAAAAAAAAAAAGAGGGAGAGAGAGAUAUGUGGAAAAAAAAAGAGUGGGAUUUUUUAAGAGCUUAAAAAGGGUAUUAGGCAGUGUGCGCUAAUUCCUAGCAUAAUAUAUUGAAGUCUUAUAUACUUUCUAAAAAUUGGCCUAAUUGUUAUAUUUUAUUUGAUGAGUGCAUUCACUUGACCCCAUUUCAUAUCUCUGUGGCUUUUUCUUAUUUGAGAAACAUAUGCUUGAUCAUUGAAGUAAAUAUUAUAUUUACAUAGAGAGAGAAAAUAGUUCUCUAGUGUGGGCACCUUAAUUUUUCUUUUUCUUAGUGCAGACACAUUAUUAAACUAUGGUUUAAUAAUCAGAUUUGAAUGCACUAUAAAAUCAUGUAGCAUAUUAAAGACAAUUAAAUUGUCGAUUAAACCACAUAAUUUAUUAGUGCAUGGAAAGAGGGUGUUUGUUCCGGCCAGUGAAGAUACCAUAAUUUUAUUAAAAUGAAAAUGUUAUUAAAAUAUAAAAUAAAUAAAUUUUAACAUAUUAAAAAUUAUUUUUUUUAGUAUGUCACUUGAGAGAAAAUGUCAGAUGGAAGGGACAAAAAAAUUACUCAUUCAACUAUCAUCAUUGAAAACGCAGAUUAUCUGCCAAACUCCGUAUAUAAAAUUGGAGGCUGAAACAGUGACGGCCACUUUAGUAUUACAAAUUGAACUCGUAACCGUAAAUUCGUUGAAGAAGAUCAGUCGGCUGGGGCACGUGUACAUCCACAAUGAUAACUAUUUGUUGCGUAUAAUUAUGACACUUUCUUCCAAAAGCAAGCGACCCUACCCUGUUUAAAAGAUUAAACUCCAUAAUUAAAUUCUGAAAUUUUGGUGGCAUGUACAUGAAAAAAUUUAUUAAUUUGUGACGGUGAUUGUUUAAUUAAAUUAUGGAGUUUAAUGAAUUACACAAUUAAAUGGGUUCUGCUACGGUACAAUUGUGGUAUCAUGUUAUAAUUAUAUUCAGUUAUUAGAUAUACUUAAAUGGGUGGAGUUCAUUAAUAUGUAAUGACUAGAUAUAGUUAUGGCAUGAUAUUACAGUUGCACUACAGGUUUUUCUCACUUAAAUUAUGUAAUUAUAAUUUAUUAUUACAAUUAUAAUAUUUUGACAGUCCAAUUACUUCACCACACUCUUAAAUAAACUAAUAUUUUACAAAUUACAACAAUUACUGGUGAUGAAAUCAUCUCAAAACGCCAGAAUUUAUUAAAUUAAUUAAUUAAUUAAUUGAUACUGUCUAAUGAAAGGUUGGAUGGGUGAUAAUGCAUAACUUAGCGAGAAUCUUUGACCUAAUCAAUUCUUGUUGUCACUACUCUUAAAUGCACACAUGGUUACUAAAAUUUUUGUUAGAUGGAGAAGCGUACCAAACACAACGCCCUGUUGCUUGCACCCCAAUAAAAUAUUAUUGGAAAAGGAAAUAAUAUGAUUGUUGGCACUUCUUGAAAUUAUAUUCUAUAUUCAAUCAAUUAAAAUAAGCUAUCAUUGUUUUUGGUAAUUAACUUCACUGAACCUAAUUUCUUUCUCCUUAUUCAUACACGAAAAGAAAGAAUGGGUCAUUCAGAAUACUAAAAUUGGUACGAAUUUUGGUUGAUUGACUAAUGGAAAGGUAAGAGAGACGUGCAUUAAAAUAUUCACGAAAUUAAGUGGACCGAGUGAUUAAUUAAUUAAUAUUAGUUAAGAAAAUUGAGGGUCGUUUAGUUUUUUUUUUUUAUUUUCUUAUUAAAAAUCAAAUCAAAUCAAAUCAAAUCAAAUCAAACCAAUCCUUAUCCAACAACGUUCUUUUAAUUGCCACUUAAUAAGAAUCAACAACAUUUUGCCUCCCUCAAACAAGAAGCCAACACAUGCGUGAAUGGAUAUAUAUUGUUGAUCAAUCUUGAAUAAUCGAUCCAAAUCGACAAAUUAAACAAUCUACCACCACGAAGAGCUAGCUGAUUCAAUUAAACGGCAAGGUUUCACCGGAUGAUUAUAAAAUAUAAACCAUAAAAAAUAAUUAGUUAAAAAAGUUGACUUAUGUACAUAACUCCAAAUUUAGUUAAUUAAUUAAUAAUUUCAAGAGCGAGCUUCACUAACAUUCCUUUCAAACUUUCAUCUACAUCGCACGGCGUUUUUUUAAUUUAUUAAAAUAAUAAGAACUCAUAUCAUCGGGAUUUGCCGCUAUAUAAAUACAUAAUAUAAUUAAAAAUUGUACCGCAGAAACCUAUGAGUGAUGCCAUUUAAAUAAACGUUAUUGUACGUAUUAGGAGAAAGAAAACAAAUUUAAAAAAAGAUCUCUAUUUUGUGAGAAAUUUUAAAAUAUUUCGUAACAAUCAAUUGAUGUAUGCAUGAUAUAUAUAGUUUAAUUUAAUAUAAUUUUUACUUAUACGAUAAUUUAUAAAAUAAAUAUACCUAUAUCAUAAUAUUAUUUAUUUAUUAUAUGACUGAUACGGUAGAUUAAAUGUAUUCUAAAAUUUCUCUUAUUUUAUAUGUUAAAACUACCGCAUCGAUUUUAUUGUACCAUCAAUAGUAUCUUAUCAAUAUGCUGUGUGCAUUUUACUCAAAGAUUGAAACACAAAUUGAUAGUAUUGUUUUUUUCCAAUGAAUCAUUAGUUAUUUGAGCACUAGUUCAAGGAAAUAAAGUUGAGCAGUCUCUCUCAAGCUCUCACAUCCAUUAUCCAACAGGCAACAAACCAUGGCUGAAUAAUUGAAGUUCUUGGAUACAUCUCACGUUCUAACCAAAUAUCAUAUCGUGCCCCAUCAUCAUUUUGCUUGCGUAAAACGUGUCAUUUCUAGCCUCUUAACUUGCAUUAAUUUCAUUCCCGAGAUAGAGAGAGAGAGGGGGGGGGGGGGAAAACAAAGACACUUACAAUAGUUAUUCCUACAAACCCAAGUUAGGAUUUUAUUAACCCUAAACGCAAAACCCAAAAAUCUGCUAGGGUGUCCCUUCACGCAUGCAGAGCCAAAACACAGCCGUAUCCCCAACAAGUGUCACUCAUCCAGAGCCCAAGACAUAUUGUCGUUGUUGUUCAUUACAUGCAUUUAGCCAAAUGUUAUUCAGAGUGAAAGGCCUAAAGGUUAAAGGAGACUUCACGCCAUGUAAAUUAUGGCUCAUGCAAAAUCAACUUCACCCACGUAAUGCCUAUACACUGAACACGAGUCACUGCCACACUGUUACUCUCUCAACGUGUCCUCUUCCUUCCGCCACGUAACCUCACGCCACCCUUCCCAGCCACGUGUCCUUCAUUAACCCAUGUGAUCUAUCGGCGUGUCCCCGCUUCGGGUUCCGUUACUUAAUCUUUUCGUUCUGGUUUUCCCGCAAUAUUGUUCGCCUAGGAAAGGAGGAAAAAUGAAAACCAACGCCCGGGACCCCAGUUUUUGUACUUUGUAAGACGAAGAUGACCUAACUUCAGUACUUAACCCUAGUUCACUUACUGCUCUAACUAGGGUUACUCUCGUGAUUGCCUUGUCUGGCACGUGUCACUUCACUUUAUCCUCUUGUCAACUUCACGCACCAUAUAUAGUAGUACAAUUGCCUGCCAGCCAGAUCAUAGCGCGUGGAGCCCUAUUCUCUUUAGCCUUUAGGCUUUAGGGGGGGUCAAGUGGUCCCGACGCCCCAGUAUUCGUAUCUGUCAUUAGCACGUUGUCCAAUCGUUGCCCUCCACGUUCAUAUACGAAUCCAGUUUGGUGAUUGUGUUUGCUGCCAACCUUAUUUAAACAAUUUGAGUACGAUUAAGGGUUGUUCAGGAAUUUAUGUGAACAAUACUGGGGCCAAACCAUGAAUUUACAAAUCAUGUGGGGUCGGUUUAACACUUUAACAAACGGGAAGGGGUCCCGGGUGGAGGGAAGUGCAGUGUGAUUUUUACACGUGUUUGAGGAUGGAAGAAAUGGGGUGCCUAGAUAUUCCUUGGGUGUCAACGACGUUGACAGGUGGACCCACGUUUCAACAUCAUAAGUGAUACGUACUAGCAUUUGAUUGGACCACAACACCCAAGCCAAGCCGAAUAAAGUUGGAGCCUUCAACUUAAAAUUAAAAAUAAAAG
rnacentral:lncRNA from 1 species